rnacentral:rRNA from 1 species
CAAUAGCGUAUAUUAAAGUUGUUGCAGUUAAGAAGCUCGUAGUUGGAUUUGUGGCGUACGGUGUGUUCCGGGCACUUGUUGUCUGAGUAACCUGCUGUUGCCAUCCUUGGGUGGAACCUGUGUGGCAUUAGGUUGUCGUGCAGGGGAUGCCCAUCAUUUACUGUGAAAAAAUUAGAGUGUUCAAAGCAGGCUUAUGCCGUUGAAUAUAUUAGCAUGGAAUAAUGAGAUAGGACUUUUUUGCUAUUUUGUUGGUUUGCGCAAGAAGGUAAUGAUUAAUAGGGACAGUUGGGGGUAUUCGUAUUCCAUUGUCAGAGGUGAAAUUCUUGGAUUUUUGGAAGACGAACUACUGCGAAAGCAUUUACCAAGGAUGUUUUCAUUAA